rnacentral:snRNA from 1 species
AUGCUUGCUUCCACAGCACAGAUACCAAAUUUGUACCGAUACAGAGAUGAGCAAGGCCCCUUUGCAAGGAUGACAUGCAAAUUUGUGAAGCAUUCCAUGAACCA